rnacentral:rRNA from 1 species
CCUACGGGAGGCAGCAGUGGGGAAUAUUGCACAAUGGGGGAAACCCUGAUGCAGCGACGCCGCGUGAGUGAAGAAGUAAUUCGUUAUGUAAAGCUCUAUCAGCAGGGAAGAAAAUGACGGUACCUGAGUAAGAAGCCCCGUCUAACUAGGUGCAGGAACCCGCGGUAAUACGUAGGGGGCAGGCGUUAUCCGGAUUUACUGGGUGUAAAGGGGGCGUAGACGGGAGUGCAAGUCUGGAGUGAAAGGCGGGGGCCCAACCCCCGGACUGCUCUGGAAACUGUACGGCUGGAGUGCAGGAGAGGUAAGUGGAAUUCCUAGUGUAGCGGUGAAAUGCGUAGAUAUUAGGAGGAACACCAGUGGCGAAGGCGGCUUACUGGACUGUAACUGACGUUGAGGCUCGAAAGCGUGGGGAGCAAACAGGAUUAGAUACCCUUGUAGUC